AUUGAACGCUGGCGGCAGGCCUAACACAUGCAAGUCGAACGAGUGGCGGACGGGUGAGUAAUGUCUGGGAAACUGCCUAAUGGAGGGGGAUAACUACUGGAAACGGUAGCUAAUACCGCAUACCAUCAGAUGUGCCCAGAUGGGAUUAGCUUGUUGGUGGGGUAACGGCUCACCAAGGCGACGAUCCCUAGCUGGUCUGAGAGGAUGACCAGCCACACUGGAACUGAGACACGGCCCAGACUCCUACGGGAGGCAGCAGUGGGGAAUAUUGCACAAUGGGGGAAACCCUGAUGCAGCCAUCCCGCGUGUAUGAAGAAGGCCUUCGGGUUGUAAAGUACUUUCAGCGGGGAAGCGUUACCUGCAGAAGAAGCACCGGCUAACUCCGUGCCAGCCGCCGCGGUAAUUC
rnacentral:rRNA from 1 species